rnacentral:rRNA from 1 species
AUUGAACGCUGGCGGCAUGCUUUACACAUGCAAGUCGAACGUCAGCGCGGGCUUCGGCCUGGCGGCGAGUGGCGAACGGGUGAGUAAUACAUCGGAACGUGCCCAGUAGUGGGGGAUAGCUCGGCGAAAGCCGGAUUAAUACCGCAUACGACCUGAGGGUGAAAGCGGGGGAUCUUCGGACCUCGCGCUAUUGGAGCGGCCGAUGGCAGGUUAGCUAGUUGGUGGGGUAAAGGCCUACCAAGGCGACGAUCUGUAGCUGGUCUGAGAGGACGACCAGCCACACUGGGACUGAGACACGGCCCAGACUCCUACGGGAGGCAGCAGUGGGGAAUUUUGGACAAUGGGCGAAAGCCUGAUCCAGCAAUGCCGCGUGUGUGAUGAAGGCCUUCGGGUUGUAAAGCAGUUUUGGCGGGAACGAAAAGGACUGUGCCAAUACCACGGUGCGAUGACGGUACCCGCAGAAUAAGCACCGGCUAACUACGUG